GGGUAGGUGCCCGAGUGGUUAAAGGGGAUGGACUGUAAAUCCAUUGGCAUUCGCCUACGGUGGUUCGAAACCACCCCUGCCCA
rnacentral:tRNA from 1 species